CGUAGCCUACGGGGCGCAGCAGUGAGGAAUAUUGGUCAAUGGGCGCAAGCCUGAACCAGCCAAGUCGCGUGAGGGAUGACGGUCCUAUGGAUUGUAAACCUCUUUUGUCGGGGAGCAAGGCCCGCCACGUGUGGCGGGAAGGAGAGGACCCGAAGAAAAAGCAUCGGCUAACUCCGUGCCAGCAGCCGCGGGAAUACGGAGGAUGCGAGCGUUAUCCGGAGUUAUUGGGGUUAAAGGGUGCGUAGGCGGAAGGGUAAGGCAGCGGUCAAAUGUCGGUGCUCAACACCGGCCUGCCGUUGAAACUG
rnacentral:rRNA from 1 species